CGAGCGAACGCUGGCGGCAGGCCUAACACAUGCAAGUCGAACGAACUCUUCGGAGUUAGUGGCGGACGGGUGAGUAACACGUGGGAACGUGCCUUUAGGUUCGGAAUAGCUCCUGGAAACGGGUGGUAAUGCCGAAUGUGCCCUUCGGGGGAAAGAUUUAUCGCCUUUAGAGCGGCCCGCGUCUGAUUAGCUUGUUGGUGGGGUAAUGGCCCACAAGGCUACGAUCAGUAGCUGGUCUGAGAGGAUGACCAGCCACAUUGGGACUGAGACACGGCCCAAACUCCUACGGGAGGCAGCAGUGGGAAUCUUGCGCAAUGGGCGAAAGCCUGACGCAGCCAUGCCGCGUGUAUGAUGAAGGUCUUAGGAUUAGUAAAAUCUUUCACCGGUGAAGAUAAUGACUGUAGCUAGGAGAAAGACGCCCCGGAUAACUUCGUGCCAGCAGCCGC
rnacentral:rRNA from 1 species